ensembl:rRNA nuclear encoded rRNA 5S 45
CUCUAUACCCAUACUAUCCUGAAGGCAUCUAGCCUUGCCCAGUCUUGGAAGCCAAGCAGGAUANGACCUGGAUAGUGCUGAGAUGGAAGAGCAGCUGGGAUGUGAUGAGA